CGUAGGUGAACCUGCGGAAGGAUCAUUAUUGAAUAAACCUGAUGUGACUGUUAGCUGGCUUUUCGAAGCAUGUGCUCGUCCGUCAUCUUUAAUCUCUCCACCUGUGCACAUUUUGUAGUCUUGGAUACCUCUCGAGGCAACUCGGAUUUUAGGAUCGCCGUGCUGCACAAGUCGGCUUUCCUUUCAUUUCCAAGACUAUGUUUUUAUAUACACCAAAGUAUGUUUAAAGAAUGUCAUCAAUAGGAACUUGUUUCCUAUAAAAUUAUACAACUUUCAGCAACGGAUCUCUUGGCUCUC
rnacentral:misc_RNA from 1 species